UGGGUGAUCUGCCCUGCACUUUGGGAUAAGCCUGGGAAACUGGGUCUAAUACCGAAUACACCUUGCUGGCUGCAUGGCCUGGUGGGGGAAAGCUUUUGCGGUGUGGGAUGGGCCCGCGGCCUAUCAGCUUGUUGGUGGGGUNAUGGCCUACCAAGGCGACGACGGGUAGCCGGCCUGAGAGGGCGACCGGCCACACUGGGACUGAGACACGGCCCAGACUCCGUACGGGAGCA
rnacentral:rRNA from 1 species